CCUACGGGUGGCUGCAGUGGGGAAUAUUGGACAAUGGGCGAAAGCCUGAUCCAGCCAUGCCGCGUGUGUGAAGAAGGCCUUCGGGUUGUAAAGCACUUUCAGUGGGGAAGAAAGCCUUGGGGCUAAUACCCUCGAGGAAGGACAUCACCCACAGAAGAAGCACCGGCUAACUCCGUGCCAGCAGCCGCGGUAAUACGGAGGGUGCGAGCGUUAAUCGGAAUUACUGGGCGUAAAGCGCGCGUAGGCGGUCUGAUAAGCCGGUUGUGAAAGCCCCGGGCUCAACCUGGGAACGGCAUCCGGAACUGUCAGGCUAGAGUGCAGGAGAGGAAGGUAGAAUCCCCGGUGUAGCGGUGAAAUGCGUAGAGAUCGGGAGGAAUACCAGUGGCGAAGGCGGCCUUCUGGACUGACACUGACGCUGAGGUGCGAAAGCGUGGGUAGCAAACAGGAUUAGAUACCCCAGUAGUC
rnacentral:rRNA from 1 species